CCCCCGAAGGAGCCAAACCUGCAGGAGGUUUGGGCUCUACGUGCUGCUGACACCUCCCGGGAGCCGAGAGUGUAUUAUAGCAACAGAUUCUGUAUUAUUCCAGCCUCACAAGCGUCUCCCUGCAAUAUUAAAAACACCAGCUGAAACCCAAGUCCAGACUCUCAAUGAAUGACUCUGUGGAAAUGCUGUUGGGCGCGUUUCGGUGCCGCUUUGGCUUUGAUUUAAAUGGGUAAACACGGUGAGUGGGUGUUUGCUUUGACUUCUUCCUCAUAGCGAAAGACUUCCUUUGAGGGAAGGUGAAGCUUCCAGUACUAUUCCCCAUCCCAGCAUCGGACCAUUCUGCCCACAGCUUGGUGUUGGCGAUGCCUUCGCUGCGUGCCCAGGCCCCGUGCUGCCAGGCUUGCCCAGCAGCAGUGGGAAACCCCCGAUUUCCCCAAGUAUCGGGGAUGCUGUGUGCCCAGGGCUCUGCUCGCAGGUACGAAUAACCCUCGCAGAGCUUGGAUUUCUCCGUCUGGAUGCGGCGUGAUCAUCUCACCCAGCCGGGAUGACGCUGCGGGAUGUCCUUGGCUUUUGAAGUCAUCUCCCCCCUGCUUGUCCCACACUCUUAAGCUCUGUUCCCCUCAAAGCUUCCCAAAAUCACCUCCGGCUUUGGCUGCACCAGGUUUAUGUGCUGGAAAUAGCCUUGCCGUGCAGCGGGCGGUUGCUGGAGGAGGCAGGGUGGUUGCAACCCGUCGUCUCCUUGCCCUGCUGAAUUAGGAAGAGCCCCUUCUCCUCCUCACACGUUCCCCCAUUGCCACCAGAGCUAUCGAAACCGACUCCUUGGCAGCCCGUGCACGUAGGAGCCGUCUUCUGGUAACAGAUUGUUAUGUAUUUAAUGAACCUGAGGAAAACAAGAAAUUUGAAGGCUGCGGGGCGAUACAAGUUUGCUGUUCGGUCUGCCAAAUUCGUGCUAAUUCAGACAACUCACAGAUGUUUGGCUCCUCGUUCGUUAAAGAGAUUUAUGUAAGAUGCAGGGCUCGGAAAUGUAUUCCCGGUGUGCCAGAGAGAUGGAGGUGGCAGCGUGGGCAAAGGUUUCCCAGCCCCAGAGGACUCCUUCCCUCCCUCCGCGGCCGUGCCACUGCCGUACCUUCCUCUUGCCAAUGUUGAUGGCAACGAACGGACAAACAGCAGGGAAAUGUGCCUUUCAGUCGCUAGGAGGAUUAAUAAAGGCUCUAGGUUCGUCUUUCAGGAGCCGAGGAGCUCUUUGAAAGGUAUUUUUCAGCUGAGGAAUGAAACUCCAGAGGUUGCCCGAGAGCUGAAGUACUUUGGUCUGAUGCAAACAGUGGUCUCGUAGGGUUUGCGGGUGACGGCCGGCACGUGUGGUACCCUCUGUGGGCGCAGAGACCGUCUGCUGAAAGCAUUUGAAACUCUUGAAAUGUUGCCUGCCUAGUUCAGGUAGAUAAUUUCAAUUUUUGGAAGGUCCUAAGUGAUUAUUUUGCUGGGCUUCACAGGAAGGUUCUGCAAUCUUAGGGUAUUUAUUUAUCCAUAAAGGGGAAGUGGUAGGAGAUGAUGUGAAGUCUGGCAAUCGAUGCAUACAUCAGUACUUCCCUGCUUUGAAUUCAGAUAUUUCUUUAGGGGCCGUCAGCCUCUACCGAUUCUGCAGCUCAGCCUCAAAAAAGGGAGAAACCUGACUUGCAAGCAGCAUCCAAAUCUGUUCGGAGAGGGAUGAUGGUGUUCUGGCGGUUGGCAAGCUUUCCUCAAUUACGUUACGAAAUGUCCCAGAUCUUGCUCGUGCUUGGUCCGUGUGGUGGUUUUUUGGUGGUCGCCGAUGAGUAGAAAGCAUUAUAGUCGGCGUUGCAGCGCUGAACUCACUUUGCAGCUCCAAGACGUGCAGAGACCCCAAGACCUUUGGAGUAAGCAAGGAAGCCCAGGCUGGCCAAGAAGCCCCCCCCUAACCCUCAGAGCAUUAUUAUCUGGCUGUAAGUACGUGGACACCGUGUUAGAGUUGCCAGGGAGGAAAAGGCAAAGUCACUGCCAGCACCAUUUUCUUCGAGCUAAGAUGUUGAGACAAAGCACCUCUGCCCCAACCCUGUCCUUUCAGUCCCUUUCCGCUGCUCGUGUGUAAGGGAGUCUUUCCCCUGCCACUCCUAUUCCCUAAGAGCACGGGGGCAAUAAACCUGACGUGUUUUACUCAA